rnacentral:rRNA from 1 species
AACGAACGCUGGCGGCAUGCCUAACACAUGCAAGUCGAACGAGACCUUCGGGUCUAGUGGCGCACGGGUGCGUAACGCGUGGGAACCUGCCCCUAGGUUCGGAAUAACUCCCCGAAAGGGGUGCUAAUACCGGAUAAUGUCUUCGGACCAAAGAUUUAUCGCCUUUGGAUGGGCCCGCGUUGGAUUAGCUAGUUGGUAGGGUAAAAGCCUACCAAGGCGACGAUCCAUAGCUGGUCUGAGAGGAUGAUCAGCCACACUGGGACUGAGACACGGCCCAGACUCCUACGGGAGGCAGCAGUGGGGAAUAUUGGACAAUGGGCGAAAGCCUGAUCCAGCAAUGCCGCGUGAGUGAUGAAGGCCUUAGGGUUGUAAAGCUCUUUUACCCGGGAUGAUAAUGACAGUACCGGGAGAAUAAGCUCCGGCUAAUUCCGUG